UACGGAGGAUCCAAGCGUUAUCCGGAUUUAUUGGGUUUAAAGGGUGCGUAGGCGGUUUAGUAAGUCAGUGGUGAAAUCCCAUCGCUCAACGGUGGAACGGCCAUUGAUACUGCUGAACUUGAAUUAUUAGGAAGUAACUAGAAUAUGUAGUGUAGCGGUGAAAUGCUUAGAGAUUACAUGGAAUACCAAUUGCGAAGGCAGGUUACUACUAAUUGAUUGACGCUGAUGGACGAAAGCGUGGGUAGCGAACAGG
rnacentral:rRNA from 1 species